rnacentral:rRNA from 1 species
GACGAACGCUGGCGGCGUGCUUAACACAUGCAAGUCGAGCGGUAAGGCCCUUUCGGGGGUACACGAGCGGCGAACGGGUGAGUAGCACGUGGGUGACCUGCCCUCAGCUCUGGGAUAAGCCUGGGAAACCGGGUCUAAUACCGGAUAUGACUCCAUGACGCAUGUUGUGGGGUGGAAAGCCUUGUGCGGCUGAGGAUGGGCCCGCGGCCUAUCAGCUUGUUGGUGGGGUGAGGCCUACCAAGGCGACGACGGGUAGCCGGCCUGAGAGGGCGACCGGCCACACUGGGACUGAGACACGGCCCAGACUCCUACGGGAGGCAGCAGUGGGGAAUCUUGCGCAAUGGGCGAAAGCCUGACGCAGCGACGCCGCGUGAGGGAUGACGGCCUGG